rnacentral:rRNA from 1 species
GACGGAGGGGGCUAGCGUUGUUCGGAAUGACUGGGCGUAAAGGGCGCGUAGGCUGUUAAUCAAGUCAGGUGUGAAAUCCUUGGGCUUAACCCGAGAAUUGCGCUUGAUACUGGUUGACUUGAGGAUGGAAGAGAAAAGCGGAAUUCCUAGUGUAGAGGUGAAAUUCGUAGAUAUUAGGAAGAACACCAGAGGCGAAGGCGGCUUUUUGGUCCAAUUCUGACGCUGAGGCGCGAAAGCGUGGGGAGCAAACAGG